rnacentral:rRNA from 1 species
ACGUGAUCUGAGUUCAGACCGGAGUAAUCCAGGUCAGUUUCUAUCUAUAAAGGGCUUUUUCUAGUACGAAAGGACCGAAAAAGCAUGGCCUAUGAUUUAUUAAGCCGUAUUAACAACUUAUGACCUCAACUUAAUUUGUAAUAAACCUAACAAAAUACUCAAGAAAAGAGAA